UACGUAGGGUGCGAGCGUUAAUCGGAAUUACUGGGCGUAAAGCGUGCGCAGGCGGUGCUGUAAGACCGAUGUGAAAUCCCCGGGCUUAACCUGGGAACUGCAUUGGUGACUGCAGCGCUGGAGUAUGGCAGAGGGGGGUGGAAUUCCACGUGCAGCAGUGAAAUGCGUAGAGAUGUGGAGGAACACCGAUGGCGAAGGCAGCCCCCUGGGCCAAUACUGACGCUCAUGCACGAAAGCGUGGGGAGCAAACAGG
rnacentral:rRNA from 1 species